UACGAAGGGGGCAAGCGUUGUUCGGAAUUACUGGGCGUAAAGGGCGCGUAGGCGGUGCGCUAAGUCAGAUGUGAAAGCCCUGGGCUCAACCCGGGAAUUGCAUUUGAUACUGGCGCGCUCGAAUCCAGGAGAGGUUGGUGGAAUUCCCAGUGUAGAGGUGAAAUUCGUAGAGAUUGGGAAGAACACCGGUGGCGAAGGCGGCCAACUGGACUGGUAUUGACGCUGAGGCGCGAAAGCGUGGGGAGCAAACAGG
rnacentral:rRNA from 1 species